GACGAACGCUGGCGGCGUGCUUAACACAUGCAAGUCGAACGAUGAAGCUGGAGCUUGCUCUGGCGGAUUAGUGGCGAACGGGUGAGUAACACGUGAGAAAUCUGCCCUUGACUCUGGGAUAACUGCGGGAAACUGUAGCUAAUACCGGAUACUUUCCCUGGUGGGCAUCCACUGGGGAAGAAAGAAUUUCGGUCAAGGAUGAUCUCGCGGCCUAUCAGCUUGUUGGUGAGGUAAUGGCUCACCAAGGCGACGACGGGUAGCUGGCCUGAGAGGGUGACCGGCGACACUGGGACUGAGACACGGCCCAGACUCCUACGGGUGGCAGCAGUGGGGAAUAUUGCACAAUGGGCGCAAGCCUGAUGCAGCAACGCCGCGUGAGGGAUGAAGGCCUUCGGGUUGUAAACCUCUUUUAGCAGGGAAGAAGCGAAAGUGACGGUACCUGCAGAAAAAGCACCGGCUAACUACGUGCCAGCCGCCGCCGUAA
rnacentral:rRNA from 1 species